rnacentral:rRNA from 1 species
UCUACGGGAGGCAGCAGUGAGGAAUAUUGGUCAAUGGACGAGAGUCUGAACCAGCCAAGUAGCGUGAAGGAUGACUGCCCUAUGGGUUGUAAACUUCUUUUAUAUGGGAAUAAAAUGUUCCACGUGUGGGAUUUUGUAUGUACCAUAUGAAUAAGGAUCGGCUAACUCCGUGCCAGCAGCCGCGGUAAUACGGAGGAUCCGAUCGUUAUCCGGAUUUAUUGGGUUUAAAGGGAGCGUAGGUGGAUUGUUAAGUCAGUUGUGAAAGUUUGCGGCGCAACCGUAAAAUUGCAUUUGAAACUGGCAGACUGGAGUACAGUAGAGGUGAGUGGAAUUCGUUGUGUAGCAGUGAAAUGCUUAGAUAUCACGAAGAACUCCGAGUGCGAAGGCAGCUAACUGGAAUGCAACUGACACUGAGGAUCGAAAGUGUGGGUAUCAAACAGGAUUAGAUACCCGAGUAGUC